GAUGAACGCUGGCGGCGUGCUUAACACAUGCAAGUCGAACGGAAAGGCCCAAGCUUGCUUGGGUACUCGAGUGGCGAACGGGUGAGUAACACGUGGGUGAUCUGCCCUGCACUUCGGGAUAAGCCUGGGAAACUGGGUCUAAUACCGGAUAGGACCACAUUUUGGAUGGUGUGGUGGAAAGUUUUUCGGUGUGGGAUGAGCUCGCGGCCUAUCAGCUUGUUGGUGGGGUAAUGGCCUACCAAGGCGUCGACGGGUAGCCGGCCUGAGAGGGUGUACGGCCACAUUGGGACUGAGAUACGGCCCAGACUCCUACGGGGGGCAGCAGUGGGGAAUAUUGCACAAUGGGCGCAAGCCUGAUGCAGCGACGCCGCGUGGGGGAUGACGGCCUUCGGGUUGUAAACUCCUUUCGCUAGGGACGAAGCGCAAGUGACGGUACCUGGAGAAGAAGCACCGGCUAACUACGUG
rnacentral:rRNA from 1 species